rnacentral:pre_miRNA from 1 species
AGAGGAGGGUGGCAGAGGAGUGCACAGAGUACGUGAAAGUGAGUGACGAUGACAAAGACGUGUGAAUAUUAAUAAAGAUUACACUUCUUUGCCACUGUCACUCACUUUCACGUACUCCGCGCACUCCUCCGCCACCUUUCUUCA